rnacentral:rRNA from 1 species
UACAGAGGUCUCAAGCGUUGUUCGGAUUCAUUGGGCGUAAAGGGCGCGUAGGUGGCCUUCUUAGUCAGACGUGAAAUCCCCAGGCUUAACCUGGGAACUGCGUCUGAUACUGGAAGGCUCGAGUUCGGGAGAGGAAUGUGGAAUUCCAGGUGUAGCGGUGAAAUGCGUAGAUAUCUGGAGGAACACCGGUGGCGAAGGCGGCAUUCUGGACCGAAACUGACGCUGAGGCGCGAAAGCCAGGGGAGCAAACGGG